CUUAUUCUCUCCUCCCGUCUGGUUUGUGUCCUCCGUCUCUCCGCUGUCUCCCAUCUUCCUAUAUUAAGGACAUUCAACUUUUGCUGUUUCCUGUACCUUCCGUUAUUCCUGUAAUAUCCAUAGAGCUGCUGGAGAGUGAAGCAGCACAGCUGACCUUAUAAAGUAUCCUGUGACCAGACCACACCUCUGUCUCUGAGUCCAUGGAAUCCAAGAGCAAGCCCGGGGCUCCGGCCCCCAAGGCAGCACCUAAAGCUGAGAAAAAGGAGCCGGCUGUCCCGCGCAAGUCUGACCCUGCCCCUGCAGCUCCUGAGCCCGAGCAUCGCCCCCCUGCGCAGGAUGGGGCAGCAGAAGCUGAGACGACAGCAGCAGCAGCAGGUGAUGAGGCUGCGGCCUCCGGCACAGACUCUCUGGAACACCUGAAGCCUUUUCUCAUUGGUGGUGCCGUCAUUGCUGCGGGAGCCAUCUUGCUCGGAGUAUUGCUACUGGCGAGGAGAAAUUAAAACCAAAUCGUUAUCUGAAGUUAGGGUAUUUAUUGGUUGAUGACUUAGAGGGUCGCUGCUGAUUGGUUCACAGACUAUUAUGAUAGAGAUUGGGGACUUUUUCUCUCCUUUUUCUUUGGCCUGCUUUCACUUGUAGUGAAUCAACUCAUUUGAUUUUUUUUUUUUUAAAUCAAGGCUGUAUAUGGGGUAUAAUUACACAUAUUAUAUGCAUGAAGUUGCUACAAUACUGCAUCUGAAGCGUAAUUACAUAUUUCUUAAAAAAAAAAAAAAAAAAGCCCUCACACAUAGCUAAAAACCUGAACUCUAAAGGUAG